GAGAAAAUUUGGGGGCUUUUGCGUCUCACUUUACCUAGAUAGCACGGAGAAGUUUCUUCGCUCGUUUUGCACACGUUUCUCCUUAGCCGUGCCGGCAUUGCAGGCGCGAGUAAGAGCGGGUGCGAGGGAGAAAAUCUGGGGUCUUUUCGUGGGUCUUUUGCUCGGACGUCGGACACUUUCAGGUACGUCGGACAGACUUUCUCGCGCUUGCGGCGCUGGUGCUGAGUCAGUCAUGCCGGAUUAAACCUCUCUUGCCCCUUACGACGCUAUAUAUUAAAAAAAAAAAAAAGAAACUGAUUUUUCCGGAGGUGCAGUAUGGGCCGAAGUAGAGGCCCGGCCUGCUCUCCUGGUGCAGUAUCUUCGCUCUUGGCAAGCUUUUCGUAUGCUGCUGUCCGCGACUUUUCAGAAGAAUUUUUAGUCCUCUUUGUGUGAAAUAAACGCACAGCGCCUUAUCACCCGCGAUUGAACGCCACCGCCUGGUGUCACGCCGUGAGAAUUAUUGGCUUUGCGUCUCGCCCACGUUGUUAGGUAAGGUUAGCUUAGGUUCUUAGUUAGGUUAGCGUAAAUUUAAGGCGUUACGGUGGCGCCGCGUAUUCUCACAGCGGUUAAGCCGCGCGGAUUUUUGUCUUUAUGUAUCGGCGAAGUUAGCUUAUGUUAACGUUAGGUUACGUUUUUUUAGGUUAGCUAAAAGGCGUCAGGGUGGCGCGGCGCAUUCACACCGGUUUCGCCGUGACGAUUAUUCUCUUUUCGUCUCGGCCACGUUUGGUUACGUUACCAUUAGGUUAUGUUUGGUUAGGUUAGCGUAUGAGGCGUUAAGGUAGCACUACGUAUUCUCGUAGCGGUUGCAGGGGCGUCGAGCGUCACCGGCGACCUUUGCGCCGCUUGCGUUCAACCGCGGUUGCUAAGGCGCUCUGCUUUGCCUUCUAGAUUUUCAAUAUAUGCGGCCCGAGUUCUACUACGGUCCCCACUGCUCCCACGGGAACAUCUGUGGUGUUGUUUUCAUGGUACAUCGUCGUAAGGCGCGAGAAAGGUAUGAUCCGGCACGACUGACUUAGCACGAGCACCGCAGGUGCGAGACAGACUGUCCGACACAGCGGUCGCCAAAUGGGGCGUCCGGUACCCGCUGCUUCACCUAUUUUACCGCGCCGGCAGCCAGCGUCCGAGCGUAAACAAACUCGACUCCACUCAGCAAUGCCGGCACGCCUAGGGACAAACGCAUACAACACGCGCUAAGAAACCUCCUGCGUAGUGCCUAGGCAGAGUCAUAUAUAUAUUCAAGGAGCAAAAGCCCCCACAUUAUCUCUCUCGCGCCCGCUCUUACUCGCGUCUGCGCACAAACGUCGGGCGAUCCCUCAAAUGAACGUCUCGUGGGUGCUAUUUGGAGGUUAAAAAAAAAUGUAUCCACCGAGUUGGAGUACACUUAAUAAAAUGGUAGGUGACCCUAAUCUUUGACUUAGGUGUCUCUUUGUGGCACUGGCACCUCGGCACCUCGGUGUUCUAGGUAAACUUUAGGUGUCCACGAAAGGCCCUCACCCCGCCCUUUACCUGGCAGCCUGAGCGAAGAAGAAAGGGGGGUGGGCAACGACGAACGAACUAGGUGUCGCCAGUUGAUUUCUUUCCACAGAUUCCAAACCAGUUCCGGAGGUGGAGUUACUGCGGGUUAUUGCGAGCAUGGGCGUGGUAUCGCAACGGAGUGUACGAUGAUUUGCUGCUGGAUAGUCUUCAGGUUCCCUAGUAGACUCGCGUAGGGAAAACGACGGGAUUAAAAGCAGAGACGUUUCGAGAGUGAGGACAGAGGGUCCUGAAGAACUGAGAUUUUAACUGCUCCUGCAUGGAGCGUACUUCCUCACUGGAGCCGUGUAACUAAGCUAAAUAAACCCUUUUUCGUUCAUUUUCUACAACUUGACGUAGUAGUCGAUGGGCUUGGUGGAUUCCAUGCCCUGAACGCCAUCCUAGCCGCAAUAAACUGGUUGUCAGUAGUGAGAUCAAGAAGAAAGUCCUUACGAUCUGGAAUCGGCGGACUGUGCACGUGGUUCCGGGAGACAAGAACUUCGCAAGGUCGAGGGAAACUAGGGACGGUAGAGCGACUUCUGCGGAUCCGGGAUCAGCAGACCUCUUCGUGGCUCAGAGAGGCACAACCGUCGCAGUAACGGCGUGGAGUUUUGGACGACUCGAGGAAUUUGGAAGGAAGAGAUCAAGAAGGCACUCCUCACGAUCUGGGAUCGGCGGACCUGUGCACGUGGCUCCGGGAGACACGAAGUUCGAAGAUCGAGGGAAACUACGACGGAAGAGCGACUUCUGCGGAUCCGGGAUCAGCAGACCUUCUCUUCGUCACUCAGGGAGACACAACCGUCGCAGUAACUGCGUGGAGUCUUGGACGACUCGAGGAAACUGGAACGAAGAGCAGCUCAAGGCAGUUCCACCAUCUGGGAUCGGCGACCUGCGAACGUGGCUCUGGGAGACACGACCUUCGCAAGCUCGACGUUGGGCCUCAAACGAAGAGAAGGGACAUAAAUUAUACCGAAGCAAUCAUGUUGUCGACAUGACAAAAUAAAGCGCGGACGUGCAACUGAGCGUUUUGAAACGACGAUGCGUGCGACAGGCCAAUGCACGCCUGGAGGUAUGCGCCGUCACAAUCGCGAUUCCUGUGAACCAGGAUACCUGCCAUAAAACGACGUGUGACAACUCUCUUCACCAGUUGGCUUCUACAUUUCGAAGUUUAGAUCACUGUGCAUCCGCAAGUAGGCAUAAAUAGUGCGGAGCUAGCUGAAGGCAUGCAGGCGUAUCUCAACGUUGCGGAAGAGUGCAAGAAGCUGAUAUCGCGAUACAGGCCCUCUCGAUGAACGGAGGCCAAGACGUGCGAGCGGGAAGACCCAACCAACCGAGAACAAGAAACUGGCGAGCAGGCAAUAUUCUACGUAUACAGAGGCACGAGCACGUACCGUUUGUGUGACCAGGUGUGGCCCUGGCUUCCAGCUUAAUGCUUCCAACUCCGAUUGCG